rnacentral:lncRNA from 1 species
AGCUCACGCUCAAAUGAAGAUCCCACCUGAGACGGUGCAGCAGUGGGCCAAUGUGUUCUCUGUUCAGCUUCGAGAGGUCACUAUAAAGUAUUCCGGCUCCUUGCUGCUGCAAAAGAAAGUGAAAGAUGUGGAGCCGAUCAUAAAGAUUGUGGAGAUCGACGGGAAGGACCUGGUGAAGGAUUACUCAGAUGAGAUUGAGCGGAUGCUGGGAAGCAAGAUGAAGUCUGUCAAGG